rnacentral:lncRNA from 1 species
CCUCAUCCAUUGAAUAUAAAAAUCUGCAUUGUAAAGUUUAAGAAAAUACCUGGAUUACAGAAAAUAAAUACAGCAAUGAAGAAAUAGAGCUCAGCAGAAGAAAAAAAACAGCAGCAAACACAAGCAGAAAACCGCAACAGUUUCGUUUUUAUAUAGCCCAAAAAUCUUAGAAGAAACCCAGAACCAGCUCUAAAGAAGACUUAUAUUUUUCUAAAAGUUUACACUCUUAAAAUUUACUCACAAAGCUCACCAUUUCAGCUUACUAAAGGGUGCUUUAGUUGCUGAUUUUUUACUCUCCAAUUUAUAUUUUUAGGGUGUAAAGACUGCCCAACAAAUGUGUGAUCCCGUCCUCAAGUGAGGAAAUAGCAGCCCCUUAAAUAGGCAAAUGAAGUCCCUUUUUUGGGACAGAUUUUGGUUCACCAAAAAUCUGUCAAAAAGACUGACUUUGUGUGCUAAACACUUUUCAAGAUCUGUCCCAAAGAUGAAAGGACGGCCUGAAAAUCUGUUGUAUCAGAAGCAAGGAGAAAAAAUAUCAUUUCAGCCACCCUACUAGUAAAGGUAGGCUACUAUUAUCCUAUUUUGUGAUAAAAUAAACUAAACUUCAGAUUUUAACCAUUAACAAUAAACUACUUGCUCAACACAAAUCAAACUUGAACAACUAUGAACUGACAAAGCAUAAACGAGACUAAAAACGUAAUUGAACUAAGUAUUCAAACAAACUUGAUGGGAAAGAAUUCGAUUUAUGCAAACUAAUUACUAAUCAAACAACUAAAUUCACAAACUAAUGCUCAAAACAGAACGAGCAUCGUUAACAAUCGGACAACGACUAACAACAACUAAAUAAUCGACUAACUAAGUGAACGAUUUAACUAAUACACUAAAGAUCAUAUUUAAAUCAAUAACAAAUCUAACAAACCACUAAACUAAAUAGAGAUAACUAAUUAAAUAAACCUAACUUGAAACUCUAAUUAACAAGAAACAACCUAAAUAGAAAAAUCAAAAAUCAGAAACUAAACUACUAAUAUAAAAUCAGAAAUUAAUUAAAGAGAUGACGAUUAUACCUAACAAGUAUGCUUGAAGCUGUUCGAGCCACGAGAAGACGCCGGAGAUGCUAAAAGGUGACUACCCGACUCCGAAACGUACGUUUCUUUCGGGUAGAUGCUAGAACGAAAUGUGUUUCAGCAUCUCGCCAAAAGAAACGAGUGUCUUUGAGUCGAAAAAUAGCUAAGAUGAGGGUUCGGGCAUUUUGGCGGUGGUGAGGUAGUGGAGCCGUGGCGGCGGUGAGGAGCGGGCCGGCGGCGACGGAAAUUUUGGGGGUGAAAUGGGUAGGAAAAGAUAGGUCGACGGGAAUUUUGGGGGUGAAAUGGGUAGGAAAAGAUAGGUCUCGUGGAGCUCUAUCCAUUCAUGUAUGUGUUGUAGGGUGGUGUUGGCCGGAGCUUCAAGAAUUUGAACCAAAAAGUGGCGGCUAAAGUUUUCUAGAUCUAAAAUUCAAGGAGUUUGAGGGGUUUUUGAAAGAAUUGGUUUGGAGAUAUGGGAAGAGGAGGUUGUGGAGAUUACAUGGUGUUAAUUUGGAGGUGUUUGGAGGUGGUCCGCCGUCGGUGGGUGAUUUUCGGCGGCGGCGGAGAGAAGAGAGAGAAGAAAGAGAGAGAAGAAAAAGAGUUAUGGGGAAAUAAG